ACCUAGCUAGCUCUCUGUCCAUAGAGCAUGUGACUUGUGAUCAUGGAGUUGUGAGUUUGAGCCUCAUGUUGGGUA
rnacentral:tRNA from 1 species